UUAAAAUCGAAGAGGUUAUGGCUCCUUUGUCGCAGGAAAGGUGACACCUGUCUUGCCUUAAGAUAGCAAAGCAGGUAUCACCUUCUGAGACAAAAGAACCUCGUUGAUCCCUUCUCCAGUGGGCCUGAUGGUUCUUGGUCCAACUUCAUCUCCGACAUGUAAAGUCCACUAAAUCGUAUAAACAAGUGGAUGCUGAAACACGCAAAUGAUCGAAAGAGUUAGCAGCAUAGCUGUAACUAUGAACUGGUCAAACAGUAUGCAGAGAUUGAGAAGAGGACGAGAUUCGACAUCUGGCGGACUCAAGCCAAAGGAAAGAGAAUAAUGCAUCAAUGGGAAUCUGCGGAUCUACUCAUUACAUAUGAUCUCCUCAGGAGUCCGUUUCACACCUUCACUCUGUUUCUUGGCAUAUAAAAGCCCUGAAUCGUACAAAGUAGUGGAUGAUAAAAGAACGCAAAUAAUACAAAAAAAUUCAGAAUCAUAAUUGCGGACGAAGUCAACUGUCGUUGACUAAUGUGAACACAUGCAUGCUCACCGGGUCAAGGAUCUGUCAGCACGGCCCACCGAUCGGAGUUCGAUUUCAGAAAUGACUAGGUCGGGCCAUUCACACUGGGAGGUGGUCAAAGAGAGUGCAGGGAUUGAGAGGAAGAUGAGAGCCUCUGCGGCUAUAAGAGUCGGCCAAGUGGAGGAGGAAGGAGCAACAAGUAGGAGUUGGGUUUCCAUGUCCAGGAGAGAUGACACCAACUUCGUCCUCAUCAAGUUGGUGGUGUCUUCUCUCUCCGGCUUCAUCCCCAUGAAGUCGGUGUCAUCCCUACUGGACGCGGAACCUCUAACUCAGCAUUCCUAAUUCAUUUCCAUUGGGGAGCUUUAUCAUCUCUUCGUUUUAAGGUGUUUGAUCUCUGUUUUGCAGGUUGGCUACAUCUGAUCGUGCAGUCUAUAUGGAUAGUUCCGAGUUCAACCUCAUGUACUUCCUCAAGAGAUGUCUGUGUGUGUGUGUGAGAGAGAGAGAGAGAGAGAGAAAGAGAGUGAGAGAUGCUCAAGGACUAAGCCAAGAUACAAAGCGAGUGGUGGUGGCUUGAUUGAGGGCGAAGCUCCACCUUCCCCAACCAUGAGGACUAAUAUCAUGGACCUCUCUCAGUCAGAAUCACAAGGAAGAAAUACUCCAAUUUUCUCAAUUUUUUUCAUGAUUUUAAAUUGAUAUUUGGAUAGUUCCUAACCAUCUCAUUAUUGUUUUAGUUAUUUCAAAUGGUUUAGUGAUUGGUUUAAGUUUUGUCAAUAUUAAAAGAAUAAUUUGAGAAAGUAUUAAGUUUUUCUUAGGGAGUAAUUUGUUUGUUUUUUCUCCAAUUAAAGCCUUUCUUUUUUUCCAACUUAUGAUCUCCCUUGUGCUCCUUUUUCCUUAUCAGAGUUUUACACAUGUAACUUCAAUAUUUUCCUACAACCCCACCACAAUAGAAUGAAGGUCCUAUAAUACUCCAAAUGGAUCUGAGUUGCAUGACAUGAAUCCAGGUUUUUGAAAUAAAAAUCAUAAAUUUCUCAAUAUUGCAGCAUGAUUCCAGACAACAAACCCUCUCUGUUUCAACAUUUCUUGACCACCCCAUGAGCUGCUCGCAUUAGCUUUUCAGGAUUAAAUUCUAUCAUUUGACCAUCUUUAGUUGGUGAUCUUUGUGAGUUAUCUAAUGGUACUAAAGCCAAAUUCAUUUUUUUUUAUCAAUCACUAAUUCCAUGUGCAGAUGGAAUAAAAGAAGAUUAUUGUUGUUGUGAUCCAAAUUGUCUGCUGGUUACUGGAACUGUGAUGCCUAGUUUAUACCUCUGAUUGUAAGCCAGCUUAGAAUUAUAGGUGGUCCUCAGCAAUGAUUUAAUGUACUGAGGAGGUAGGGAAAUGGCACAAAUUCUUUGAGACUGUACCACUUGCUCACCAAUCUAUAAAAUUAUAUGCAGGUUAACCUUGGUGAGAAGGAGGGCUUCACAGUUAUCGAUCCAUGAUGCUUUUGAUCUGCCUUUGCUCCUUAGCCGUCUCAAUAUCCUGCAAGAAAAGAUGCAACAGAAAAGCGAAGAAGAAAAGGAAGCCAUGCCAAAGCUUCUUUUUCUUCUUUUUGCCCUUUUUCUAGCAUUGGAUUACUCUAUUGUUCAUGAGAUGAUUACUACUGGAGUGGAGUACAUAUGUUCUCAUGCAUGUCUUAAGCAACUUUAAAGGGGUCUUAGACUGACUUUAUAUUCCUUGGUGAGCACAAAGCUGUACUACCAAAGUGAGUGACAAAGAGACUUGAAAGAAAAGUAAAAGUUGGCAUUAAAAACAAACCCAUAAGCUCUUUAGUUGUUAGGACUGCUGCUUACAAGGACCCAAGGAACAAGAAAACCAAGCUGUCAGCUUAAUUGAGUGCAUUUGUUACAUUGAUCCCAUUCAAUGCUCAUCUUUUUUUCAUG